AUCCUUCUGGUUCAGAUAAGUGAUGAAUGGGUUGAUCAUGUGAUUGCUGCGUGACAUGUGCUGCCUUUCAAUCUUGUUACGACUGGCACAACACCCUUCUGAUU